CCUUCUCAUUGUGGAAAGGUCGGCUUUGCCCUUUCUUUGCACUCACAAUCUCAGACUGAAGGUGAAGUUUCAAUUUCGUCCGACUAAUCCUCGCUGUGCCUCCGUCUCCAGGUUCCUCUCUCUGUGUAACAGAUCAUGCAUACAGAUUAAGUUUCAUCUCGAACUGAUUGCAAAGUUUUCACUCAUAUUCAGCUUGAAGAUCUGAGGUUCCUGUUUGAGUCUUUGGCGGCGAAUUAUCGUUCGGUUUUUCCAGAUACUUGGAACAGUGUGCUGUUGAGUUCUUCAAGUGUUUCAAAUUCAGGAUGAAAGCUAUCCCAGAAUAUGUACUUGGACACAUCGUUACAAGUACCCGGGGUGUAUUUGUUACACAGAGGGCCAAAUUCAAGAUCUCCUGUUCCACAGCAUCCUUUAUCCACCACUUCAAAUCCUGAAUCGAAAAAUCAUUUCAGCGGAAAAUUACUUUGUUACUGUUGAAUAUAUUGAAAAUGAUGAUGAGACAUUACCAUAUUGAGCAGGGUUUUGGAUCAGGGAAAGCAAAGGGUUGUAGCUAUCAAUGUACAUGAUGUGUGCAUCUGGAAGUCUCUCAUUGAGGGAAUCUAUAAGGUGGGAGAGCUUCGAGUUGAAAAGGAUUGCUGCUUGAUUCCCGGUUUCGUAGCACGCCCUCUUUAUACCUCCGUUUAAGUGUUCUCUGUGCUGGCAAACACCCAAUUGGUGGUAUACAUAUUACUCCGAUCACUCUUGCUCCCAGUGCAUGAAGUUCCUGUAAUUUCUCCCCACAUUAAUUAACAUAAAGAGCAUAAAGUAAGGUUAUGACA